rnacentral:ncRNA from 1 species
CUAGUCUUCGGUGGUCGCUGCCAAAUCAGCGACCGGGCGUGGAAACCCGGUGA